AUAAGUAGAGGCGCCUGCUGUAUCAGUACGUACAUCGGAUGUGUGCAGAGCAGAGGAAGGAUACAGAAAGGACAGCAGGCCGAAGUUCUGCGGGGAUCUGCAGCCGCGCGGUGCUGGGCAUACAGUUAAGAGCUGUAUGACUGUCAUCAAUUUAUGAUGGAGAGCUGCUUU
rnacentral:ncRNA from 1 species